rnacentral:rRNA from 1 species
UACAGAGGGGGCAAGCGUUAUUCGGAAUUAUUGGGCGUAAAGGGCGCGUAGGCGGCUUUGCAAGUGGCGGGUGAAAUCCCUCGGCUUAACCGAGGAACUGCCUGCCAGACUGCAUGGCUUGAGACCGGGAGAGGUGAGUGGAAUUCCCAGUGUAGCGGUGAAAUGCGUAGAUAUUGGGAGGAACACCAGUGGCGAAGGCGGCUCACUGGACCGGUACUGACGCUGAGGAGCGAAAGCGUGGGGAGCGAACAGG